GUUGUUGUUAUUGUUGUUGUUGUUGUUAAAAAUGAGUGUACUUUAUGGCUAUAUCUUUGUGAAGAAUGUCGUGGCAGGAAGAGAAAAGAAUGAAGAUUCACAGUGGAGACCAUGAGGCAAUAAUUCCACUUUACUCCAUCUAAUUUCUUUGGCUGAAUCUCAUGCUGAACUCUAAAUCCUGGUGAUCUGUAUGGAGACCCAGUGACCCUCGAGGCGACAAACGUGUAAGAGUUCAAAACAACAGAACCUUUUAUCUGAGAAAAAUGGAAAUCAUUCCAAAUGCUUGAAGGGGCAUGUAGUGGUUUCCAAACUCCAGUGUGCCUGAGACGCUCACUGGAAACUUGCUCAACUUAUCUAUGUAAGUAAUUCUAAAUCAGCUGGUUUGGACUGAAGCCUGCAGAUCUGCAUUUUUAACAAGCACUCUGGAAAUAUCCUCUGAUUGAGAAAUGCUGAACUCGGAGCAAGACCUUAGAGCUUGAUUGCAUUAUAUGAUGGGGACAUUGCAAAAGGCUUCCUUCAGCUCCAGAAGCUCUCUGUGGGAUAGAAACACACUUGGAGUUUUCCAAUCAGUGCUUGCCUCCGAAAUCCCACAUCUGGCUAGGUGGUGGUGGACUCUGGGUGUGGCGUCUCUCUGUCAGUAGGCUGUCUGGGACCCACAGCAGUCCCGAGCCCAAGAACGGCACAUCUGACUAUGUCCUGGCCUGGGUCAGCUUGGCCUGUGAAACCAGGGCCGUGUUCCAGGUCCGUGUGACUGAGGGGCGAGGAGCCUGGUUCCCACGGGAACAGGUGUGUAGGGGCUGGUGGCCCUGACCUUGUGGGGAUUUGGGCCUGGGAAGGCAGCACGGCCUGGGGCUGGGGGAAUCUUGGGAACAGGCGUUGGAGAGGUAAACGAAUUCUCUGUUUAUUUCAAGUUAGCUUAAGAUCUUAGACAAGUGACUUAUCUUCCCUGAGUUACAAUUUCUCUGUGAGAGAUCUUAAUGCCCUCCUCGGGGGCCCCCGGGGGAGAUUAAGAGGGUACUUCGUGUAAAGCGUGGGGCAGAGACUUAACAGAUAGUAGUGUAUUUAUUCCUUUCCUUUUCUUUUUUUUUUUUU
rnacentral:lncRNA from 1 species